GACGAACGCUGGCGGCGUGCUUAACACAUGCAAGUCGAACGGUAAGGCCCUUCGGGGUACACGAGUGGCGAACGGGUGAGUAACACGUGGGUGAUCUGCCCUGCACUUCGGGAUAAGCCUGGGAAACUGGGUCUAAUACCGGAUAGGACCCUGGGAUGCAUGUCCUGGGGUGGAAAGCUUUUGCGGUGUGGGAUGGGCCCGCGGCCUAUCAGCUUGUUGGUGGGGUGAUGGCCUACCAAGGCGACGACGGGUAGCCGGCCUGGGAGGGUGACCGGCCACGCUGGGACUGAGAUACGGCCCAGACUCCUACGGGAGGCAGCAGUGGGGAAUAUUGCACAAUGGGCGCAAGCCUGAUGCAGCGACGCCGCGUGAGGGAUGACGGCCUUCGGGUUGUAAACCUCCUUCAGCACCGACGAAGCGCAAGUGACGGUAGGUGCAGAAGAAGGACCGGCCAACUACGUGCCAGCCGCCGCGGUAA
rnacentral:rRNA from 1 species